UCACUGGGUUCGCGAUUGUUU
rnacentral:miRNA from 1 species